GUGGGGAAUUUUGGACAAUGGGCGCAAGCCUGAUCCAGCCAUGCCGCGUGCAGGAUGAAGGCCUUCGGGUUGUAAACUGCUUUUGUACGGAACGAAAAAGCUCUCUCUAAUACAGGGGGUGAAUGACGGUACCGUAAGAAUAAGCACCGGCUAACUACGUGCCAGCAGCCGCGGUAAUACGUAGGGUGCAAGCGUUAAUCGGAAUUACUGGGCGUAAAGCGUGCGCAGGCGGUUAUGUAAGACAGGCGUGAAAUCCCCGGGCUCAACCUGGGAAUUGCGCUUGUGGCUGCAAGGCUGGAGUGCGGCAGAGGGGGAUGGAAUUCCGCGUGUAGCAGUGAAAUGCGUAGAUAUGCGGAGGAACACCGAUGGCGAAGGCAAUCCCCUGGGCCUGCACUGACGCUCAUGCACGAAAGCGUGGGGAGCAAACAGGAUUAGAAACCCGAGUAGUCC
rnacentral:rRNA from 1 species